CAGUGUGGGUGGCUUGGAAACACUCUCAGCUCUGAGAAGUAUGCCGAAGGCUGGAGCUAUGCUCAGCUCAGGCCCAGCUGUGUCUUUAUCAUAGGAUGUGUGCCGCAAGAACCCAAGAAACAGUCUUCCUAAAGGAAUG
ensembl:misc_RNA predicted gene, 27818